GGCUUAAGCCUUCCGGAGGCAACCAUUGGGAAUUAUUCCCCAAUGGCGCAAGUCCUGAUGCAGCAAUGCCGCGUGAAUGAUGAAGGCCUUCGGGUCGUAAAACUCUUUCGUUGGGGAAGAACAAGUGCUAGUUGAAUACCCUGGCACCUUGACGGUACCUAACCAGAAAGCCCCGGUUAACUCCUUGCCACCACCCGCGGUA
rnacentral:rRNA from 1 species